UACGGGGGGCAAGCGUUGUCCGGAAUCACUGGGCGUAAAGGGCGCGUAGGCGGCCUGAUAAGUAGGGGGUGAAAUCCUGCGGCUUAACCGCAGGGCUGCCUUCUAAACUGUCGGGCUAGAGCACGGUAGAGGCAGAUGGAAUUCCCGGUGUAGCGGUGGAAUGCGUAGAGAUCGGGAAGAACAUCAGUGGCGAAGGCGGUCUGCUGGGCCGUUGCUGACGCUGAGGCGCGACAGCGUGGGGAGCAAACAGG
rnacentral:rRNA from 1 species